UGGGGUGAAUUUGCGGAAGCUUAUGGUUGUUGAUGGAACAAGGCCUUCCUAGGAAGUGUGGGUGCCUUGAAGGUGCAUGAAGAGUGUGAGAUUAGGGAGGUUCGACCAGCCCCUUUUAAGGUGUAAGGAUUGAAGACUAAAACCUAAAUUCUAGACAAGGAGUAAGGUAUGGCUCAAGUUUGGCAGCAUAACAAUACUCAAUUUAAUCUUUCAAAUACAUGAGGUUGGCUCCUCCUUUUAUAGGCUAAGGAGGACCGUAAAUGAUGACCUAAAUGAUGAGCAAAUGCAAGCCAAAUGAUAUGUAAAUGAGUAGCACAUGGAGGCACGUGGAGCACAUGGCACAUGGGAGCACAUGGCCUCCUAACCUACACAUGGUCGGUCCUAGAUUAGUGGGGAGGUUCUAGAAACCGUAGCUAAUCUAGGUUCACAAGGCUAUGCUAUUUACACCACAAUUAAGACUAAGCUACACUUGAUGGGCCUUCUUGGAAUAUAUACAAAUAGGUCUCUCUUCCAUCUGUAGCUUGGUCCAAGUCUUCGUUUAGUCUCUUGGCCAUGGACCUAGUAAUUGGUCCUAUGUGCUCUUGCCCUUGUCCUAGACGCUCUUGCCUUGGUUCUAGACGCUCUUGGCUUGUCUCUAGACGCUCUUGUCUUGGCUCUUGUCUUUCAUGGGAGGUUGAGCUUGGCCCUCUUCUAUCAUCCCCUCCCCCUUGGAAAGAAUUUGUCCUCAAAUCCAAAUCGUCUUCAUUGGUACCUACAAAUGAAGUUAAGUCAAUUACAUUAAAAGUAUCAUGCACUCCAUAUUCAAUAGGUAAAUCCAACUUGUAAGCAUUUAUGUUGACUUUCUUGAGGACUUGAAAGGGUCCAUCACCUCGGGGACUUAGUUUGGACUUUCUUUGAGUGGGAAAUCUAUCUUUUCGAAGGUGAAGCCAAACUAAGUCUCCUUCCUCAAAAAGUAUUUCUCUCUUCCCUUUAUUGUUGUAUUUUGCAUACUUUUCAUUUUGUUGUUGUAUUUGGAGUUUAACCUUCUCAUGGAGUUUCUUAACAAAGUCGGCUUUGAUAACUCCUUCCUUAUGCACAAAUUCUUGUGGAUUAGGAAGAGGUAUAAAAUCCAAGGGUGUAAGAGGGUUAGAUCCAUAGACAACUUCAAAAGGAGAAGCAUUAGUAGUUUUGUGAACUACUCUAUUAUAAGCAAAUUCAAUGUGGGGAAGGUAUUCAUCCCAAGAUUUUUGGUUUCCCUUCAUGAUAGACCUAAGCAUAGUACCAAGAGAUCUAUUGACUACUUCGGUUUGGCCAUCCGUUUGAGGAUGACAAGAAGUUGAAAAUUGUAGUCUUGUGCCAAGUUUGCCCCAAAGAGUUUUCCAAAAAUGGCUUAUGAACUUGGGAUCUCUAUCGGAUAUUAUACUUCUAGGCAAACCAUGGAGUCGCACCACUUCUCUAAAGAAGAGUCGAGAAAUAUUUUGAGCAUCAUCUACUUUGUGGCAAGGAAUAAAAUGGGACAUUUUGCUAAAUCGAUCCACUACCACAAAAAUAGAGUCAUGACCUCUUGUAGUCCUAGGAAGUCCUAAAAUGAAAUCCAUGCUAAUGUCUUCCCAAGGAGCAUUUCCAAUUGGUAAAGGGGUAUAUAGUCCAUGUGGCAUUGUUCUAGAUUUGUCCUUUAAAGAUGAAAUGCAUCUAGAACAAUGUCUUUGAACAUCUUUUCUCAUGUGUGGCCAAUAAAAUUUUCCUUUCAAAAGAUCAAGAGUUUUAUCAACUCCAAAAUGGCCCAUGAGAUCCCCCUCAUGUGAUUCCUUUACAAGAAGCUUUCUAUGUGUACCUUGGGGAAUACAAAGUUUUCCUUCUUUAAAGAGAUAUCCCUCAGUCACAUAGUAACCUUCUUGUGCCCUAUGUUCACACUUAGCAUAGAUGGAUGUAAAGUCUUGAUCUUCUUGAUAAAGUUCUUUUAUGUGGUCAAAUCCAAGAAUUUGGGCACCAAGUUUGGAAAAGAGCACAUGUCUCCUUGAGAGAGCACUCGCUACUAUGUUUGUGCUUCCUUUCUUGUAUUUGAUCACAUAAGAAAAUUGUUCAAGAAAUUCCAUCCAUUUUGCAUGUCCCUUAUUGAGCUUGUGUUGGCCUUUCAAAUAUUUUAAAGACUCGUGAUCACUAUGGAUAACAAAUUCUUUGGACACAAGAUAAUGUUCCCAAGUCUUUAAGGCCCUCACAAGUGCAUAGAGCUCUUUGUCAUAGGUGGGAUAGUUAAGGGUGGCACCAUGAAGUUUUUCGCUAAAAUAUGCAAUGGGGUGUCCACCUUGUAACAAAACCGCACAUAUGCCCACUCCCGAUGCAUCACAUUCUAUCUCAAAAGUUUUAGAAAAAUUUGGGAGAGCUAGAAUUUGUGCAUUGGUGAGUUGAGCUUUUAGCCUUUGAAAGGCUUGCUCAUGCUUUUCACUCCAACAAAAUGCAACAUCUUUUUUGACAAGUUCAUUGAGAGGGGAAGCUAAGCUUGAAAAAUUAGGUACAAAACGUCUAUAAAAGCUAGCUAGCCCAUGAAAACUUCUUACAUCACUUACAUUUUGCGGAGUUAGCCACUCUUGGAUGGCUUUGAUUUUCUCGGGGUCAACAUGCACCCUCCUUUUGUUAACUAUGAAACCUAGGAAAACUAUGUUAUCUACACAAAAGGUACAUUUAUCACUAUUGGUAAAUAAACUAUUUUUCCUAAGUACUAGAAGAACUUCCCUAAGGUGACUUAGAUGGUCUUCUAGGCUCUUGCUAUACACUAAGAUAUCAUCAAAGUAAACUACUGCAUAUUUACCUAUACAAUCUCGCAAGGCAUGAUUCAUGAGCCUCAUGAAUGUGCUAGGUGCAUUAGUGAGACCAAAAGGCAUCACCAACCAUUCAUAUAAUCCAAACUUGGUCUUAAAAGCGGUUUUCCAUUCAUCACCCUCUUUGAUUCGAAUUUGGUGAUACCCACUUUUAAGAUCAAUUUUAGAGAAUAUAAUUGACCCAUGUAACUCAUCAAGCAUGUCAUCAAGCCUUGGGAUUGGAUGCUUAUACUUGAUGGUGAUGUUGUUGAUUGCUCUACAAUCACAACACAUUCUCCAUUUUCCUUCUUUUUUUGGUACCAACAAGAUAGGUACAACACAAGGGCUUAGGCUCUUUUGAACCCAACCCUUCUCCAACAAGUCUUGAACUUGUGACUCUAUCUCCUUUGUUUCCUCGGGGUUAGUUCUAUAUGCGGGCCUAUUUGGUAGGCUUGCCCCCAGAAUUAAGUCAAUUUGAUGUUCUAUACCUCUAAUGGGAGUCCUUGAGGUCCCUCAUUAGAGAAUAUAUCUUCAAAUUCACUCAAAAGAUUUUUAAUUUGAGGAGGUAGACUCAUGGGUUCAUGAUUUGUGGCAGUGCAUGUAAGUGUUCCUUUACAAAAGAUUAGGCUAGGUUUUUCAACAAGAAGCAAAUUUUCCAAGGCAUUUUCAAAAGGUUUUUCUUGUUGAACAACCUUGUGGGAAGGAACACUCAUCUCCCACGCCUUUCUAUCCCUACGGAUUUUCUCUUUUUCUAGCUGUACCGACCCGUUCCCGGGCGUUGACCAAAGUCAAAGUCAAACGUAUGGCGGGACCCCCCAAGGGGGGCUGCAAAGAGGAAAGUCAGAAUUAACCGCUUUGGGCGUCGCCAUGAGUGGGCGUCGCCGGAUUCAGGCAUCGAUGCUGCCAUCUCCCGAUACCCAUGGGUAGGGAAGAUCGUGGAGGGGAUGGCACAAUAAGAGGCCACGGUACGGACAAGGAGGCCCCGGGCCCCGGUACCUCAAAAUAGUAAUAAGGGAAAGAGAAAGGUGGCUUCAAGGCCAUAUCCCUACCAGUAGGGAGUAACCUGACUCGUGAAGUACCCACGCCACCUCUGGAGAAUCCCUGGGAUAGAUACAACCCGGGAGAGGGCCACGCCCAGGGGUAAUCCAUGUGCAUGGUACGAGAGGAAGGCUGAUACACUCCCAGGGCGAGUGACUAGAGGCUGGGACGCAUGAGUUGGCAUCCAGGUAGUCACCCCUUGCGCCAUAUGCACUUCGAGGAAGGGAGACUUACACGCUGGGAUUUCCCUAAGUUGGGUUACAGUGUCGUAAGGCCUUCCACGUGGAGUUACGGUUAAGUCAGAAAGACCACAUGGCAGUAAGCACUAAAACCCAAGGUAUAUAAGCUUAUCUGAAGCUUAGUAAGGUACGUUUUCACAUAGUCUACACACACUUUAAUCAUUUGCUCGCUUACUCAUUGUACGCACGAGUGGUUGGAGAGAGGGAGAAAGUUAGUUACGAUUCAGUUACACACCUUCAGAGCAUUCAUUUACGGUGCUCCGAUACGGAGGUGUUUGGUGUUUUCUACUUGCUGACUUGAUCGUCGGAGUGCAAACGGCCGCGAGGGCGCCCUUUGUUCACUCUUUUUCAGGUACUCACGGCGGAGUAGGGAGAAGACCAAGUUGAAGACGAAAGAGUCGUUAUUCGUGAGUCAAAGCAGCGCACGAAGAUCCUUUCAGUCAACCGGCAGGAACACUAGCACUCUUUUUUUUUUGUUUCCUCGUCCCUGUUAUGUUUCAUUUGUAUUUGGUCUUUUACCACUUGAGAAUGUGGUAAAGGACUAAGUACAAACUUCUUAUGCUUAUGGGUGAAGGAAAUCUCGUUAGUUAGACCAUCAUGCAAGGUUUUCUUAUCAAAUUGCCAUGGUCUACCUAAUAAGAUAUGGCAAGCUUCCAUAGGUACUACAUCACAUAAAACCUUAUCUUUGUAGUUACCUAUAGAGAACUUGAUUUCCACUUGCUUAUCUACACUUAGUUCCCCAUUCUCAUUGAUCCAUUGUAGUUUGUAAGGUUUGGGAUGAGGAACUACUUGUAGAUUGAGCUUAUCAACCAUCCUAGCACUACAACAAUUGCAACUAGAUCCACUAUCCACAAUGAGGGAACAUAUAUUUUCUAAAACAUUACAUCUUGUAUGAAAGAUGUUCUCCCUUUGUGUUUCUAUGGAUGUGCUAGGUUGAUUGUUGAGGGUUCUCCUAAUCAUUAACAAUUCUCCCUCUAAUGGAUUUACCCUCUCAUCCUCUCCCCCUUCCUCUUCUCUCUCACUUGGCUCAUCCUCACCACUAGUGUACUCAUCUACACCCUUUAAGAAUAAAGACCUUUGGUUUGGGCAUUGUGCUUGCACAUGCCCUCUUCCAAAGCACUUAAAGCACUUGGUGUCCCUAGCUCAGAUGGGUGGGGUGGAGGUUUCCUUGGCCAAAGGCUUGGUAGUUUCCUUUGGUUUUUUUCUAGAUGUGCUACCUUCCUUCUUAAAGUCUUUCUUGGGAUAAAAGUUGGAGUAUGAACCCACCCUUUGACUUGAAGUUUUGCGCAAAUUUUGUUGUUCAACUUUAAUGCAAAGUUGAACCAAAUCAUUCAAAUCUUGAUAGGGAAGGAGUUCUACCCUAUCUUUUAUCUCAAGAGAGAGGCCACUUAGGAAUCUUGCUAUGGUGGUGUCCUCUUCUUCUCUAAUAGAUGCUCUCAUCAUGUAGAGCUCCAUUUUCUGCCUAUACUCCUCUACACUCAUAUUCUUUUGUUGAAGUCUUUGGAGCUUGUCCAUUAACUCUCUAUGGUAGUAGGAGGGUAUGUGUCGACGUCUUAGGGCUCCCCUAAGGUCAUUCCAAUAUUCAACGGGAGGUUCCCUAUGAAGACGUCUUUCUCUCUCUAGAGAGGUCCACCAACACAUGGCAUUUCCUUGGAAGCUAAGGGUGGCUAAGGGUACCUUUCUUUCUUCACUCACCCUAUGGCAAGCAAAGAGUUGCUCUACUUUCAUUUCCCAAUCUAGAUAUACCUCUACGUUUUCUUUACCAUUGAAAUGAGGUAGGUCUACCCUAACCUCCCUUGGGCUCUCUUGCUCCCUUUGCCUAUUUCUUCUAGGGGGUGGUUGGUAGUAAUCAUUGACUCUAAGGCUUUCCUCCCCUAGAGACUCAUUAUCUUUGGAGUGAGAUGCAUGAGUGUGUGAUUUUUUUGAAGUUUGAGACUCCUUUUCCUUUGCUCUAGUCAAUAUAUUGAUUUUAAAUUCAUUCUCCAAUUGUCUAUAUGAAAUUAAUUGAACAUCCUUUGCAAGUUGUUUUAAAAGAGAUUUUAAGGACUUCACGUCACUUUCAAUAGAUUUAGAGGAGUGAGAAGACAUGACUAAAGCUUUGUGUAUAGAAAUGUUUUACUUUAAGAAAGAUGAGGAAAGCUAAUGAAGGUAGUUUUCCAGGUAAGAGAGGUGAGUCACAAUGGACUACUUAAAUACCAAGUCUUUGCCUUAGCCAAAAACUAUCCCUCAAGAUCUUCACACAAAUCUUUCUUUAGGUAAAUCACUUAAAACACAAUGAGGAUGUAGAAAUCAAAUUUUAUGCAACAAAAACAAUGCAAGCUAUCUAGGAACUAAAGCAAAUUAUCAAAGCUUUAAACAAGGCUAAACAAAAGCAAUUAAGCGAAACUAAACAAAAGCAAUUGGCGUAAUUAAAGCAAUUAACAAAUGCUAAGCUAGAAAAUUUAAACUAGUCGAUCCUAGGUGAGGCUUCUUAGACACUUUGAGCCUUUGAAGACACACUCACCGUCUAAUUGCGUGAUUAAGCUACUAAUUAACAAGAGAAUUUGCAAAGAAAAUUAAGUUGCACAAAUUAAAGUGCACUCCCUUGACUUGUUGUUGAUCUUCUCGGUUGUGCCCUUCAAGGUGUAUGAUGUAUUUUGGUAUUGUGUUUGUUGCUGCCCCUUUGCCUUGAUCCUCUUUGAUUUAAGUAAUUAAAUUCUUCAAUACAGUACCUAUUAAGUAAAUCUAGACUCUCCUCAAGUCAAAUCCCUCUCAACAAGCACCAAUUGAUAUUAAUCCACCAACAAAGCUUAGAGGUCAAGAAAAAAAAGCAAGAAACAAAUAAUAUUUGAAAACAGCACCACUACAAUUGGAAUUAAUAUUGUGACACAAAGUAGAAGUAAUUCAGAAUGAAUUGUACAAGCAAAUAAAAAAUAGGCACUCAAAUAAUGGAUGGCACACAAAAGGAACCUAAGGAAUAGCACUAGUUUGAUUUAAAAAAACCAAAAACAGCACCACUGAAAAUGUUGUGCUCCAGAAAGCGUGACUUAAAAGAUUUAUAUUGAGCUGGCUAUUUUAUAUUUGUUUCUGAAAAUUUAAACACAAUCAAUUCAGUUUCUGAACAAACUUUUUGCUUUGGUUUCACUUUAAUCACAUGCGCCAAUUAUUUAUGAUAAUUUUUCCAAAAACAGUGUCCAAAAUCAUCAGUUCCAGCGCCAGAAUACACACUUUUCUUGUGUGAUUUUUUUUUCUCUAUUUCUUUUUUUCAACUGAUUCUUUUUUUUUUGUUUUUUUUAUAACACCUCAAACUAGUGAAAUCCAUAGGCUCAUAAUUUUCUUAUGAUGUAUUUAAUUUUCAUAAAACAAAACAGCCAAAACAGAAAAAAUAGAGGAUUCUGAAAUCUAAAAUCAAAACAGAAAGAUAUACUUCAAAAACACAAUGGAAUUAAUGUGAUGAAAUUUGUGUGGAUCUAACACACAAAUAUGAACUCAAACUAAAAAGAAAAAUGCACCAAAGGAUCAAAACAAUAUAGAUUUCAGAUCAAGCACUCAAACCAAAAACAAGAAACAAUUAAAUCAAGAAGAGUACUACUAUGAUUUGUUGACAAAUUUGGAAACACAUGACUUAGACAAAACUUAUAGAUUCAUAAAAUAAAAGGACUCAAACACAUUAAUAUGAACCGAAUGAAAUUGCAAUCAAGACUCAAGCAACCUAAAAAAAUUAAAAACAGCAACACAAAGUAUCAAGAAUCCUACACAAAAUUUAAAUAAGAUGUUCAAGCACAAUUUGAACAAAAACUACCGAUUGAAUUGAAUAGAAAAGCAUUCAAAUCAUAUUAAAAUCAUAAAAACAGCAAGACAAGAUGAACACAAGAUGAAUAACUUGGAAAUAAGAAGAACUCAAGCACAAAAAUGAGAAGAGAUACUUAUCUCUUGAAGACCAUAGCUCAUGAUACCAAAUGAUGGCAUUGAGGUCUUCUUCUUGGUGGAAAUUGGGGUGAAUUUGUGGAAGCUUAUGGUUGUUGAUGGAAAAAGGCCUUCCUAGGAACUGUGGGUGACUUGAAGGUGCAUAAAAAGCGUGAGAUUAGGGAUUUUCGGCCAGCCCCUUUGAAGGUGUAAGGAUUGAAGACUAAAACCUAGAUUCUAGGCAAGGAGUAAGGUAUGGCUCAAGUUUGGCAGCAUAACAAUACUCAAUUUAAUCUUUCAAAUACAUGAGGUUGGCUCCUCCUUUUUUAGGCUAAGGAGGACCGUAAAUGAUGACCUAAAUGAUGAGCAAAUGCAAGCCAAAUGA
rnacentral:lncRNA from 1 species